UACGUAGGGGGCAAGCGUUGUCCGGAAUCAUUGGGCGUAAAGCGCGUGUAGGCGGCCCAGUAAGUCCGCUGUGAAAGCCCAGGGCUCAACCCUGGGAUGCCGGUGGAUACUGUUGGGCUCGAGUCCGGAAGAGGCGAGUGGAAUUCCCGGUGUAGCGGUGAAAUGCGCAGAUAUCGGGAGGAACACCAAUGGCGAAGGCAGCUCGCUGGGACGUGACUGACGCUGAGACGCGAAAGCGUGGGGAGCAACAGG
rnacentral:rRNA from 1 species